GAUGAACGCUAGCGGCAGGCCUAAUACAUGCAAGUCAAGGGGUUCAGCAAUGGACACCGGCGGACGGGUGCGUAACGCGUACACAACGUGCCCAAGGGCGGGGGAAAGCGGCGGGAAACUGCCGGUAAUACCCCAUGGUGUUGUUGGAUGGCACCAUCCGGCAACUAAAGUACAAGCGCCCUUGGAUCGGUGUGCGUCCGAUUAGCUUGUUGGCGGGGUAACGGCCCACCAAGGCUCCGAUCGGUAGGGGGGUGAGAGCAUGGCCCCCCANAC
rnacentral:rRNA from 1 species